UGGGGGGAUCCCUUCUCUGGGGAGGAGCAGAGGCCGGGGCAGGGCGGGGUUGUGCGUCCAGCGCCCAGGGCAGCGGGAGGCCUGUGGAAGAGACUCUCCAGAGAGGCCAGGGGCUGCUGUGGGGUCUGACAGAGCUGGCUGGCUGGCUCGGGUGAAAUGGGGAACCUCAGGCAGGGAGGGUUUGGGCCUGAAGGGCCAAAGGAGGUGGCAUUUCAUAAGGUCUCAGUUGAACCCCAGCAAGAGGAGUGUUACUUUAAGUACUCUUGCCUGCAAGUAUGUCACUGCAGGUAGGGUGUGUGCAGGGCCAGACUCUGCCAUGCCCUGGAAUGCCACAUUGAUGCUGCAGGGCAGUAUUGGGAAAGGGAGCUUCAGAAAAGAGAUUGUUAUUGUAUUGUGGUAGCAUCUAGGAGCCCUACUCAUAGACCAGGACCCCAGUGUGCUAGGCACUGGACAAACAGAACAAAAAGAUGAGCCACAUCCUAGGGAGCCUACAAUCUAAGUAUAAGACAAAUUACGUAGCUAAGACUCCUUUUUAUUCCUGGUUGGAUGCCCAAGUAGGCCCUAAAGAUCCAAUUGCAAUUUUCAAGAAGAUAUGGUUUAUGCCUAGUGCCAUGGCCAACAGCCUUCUCGCCCCAUCUCAGGGAACCAGGUUGUAAUGUCCAAAAUUAUGUUUGAGCCCCUGCUGUUAAGCUCGCCAAUGUAGUUGUUUCACUACCACUAUAUAUUGUUUUGUAAAAUAGUCUAAUAUAUUGAGUAUGGAAGAUGCUUUAUACAUAUACAUUGUUCUCCACUUCAGUACUGAGCUACCAAGAAAAAAAAAAGCCUGGGAAUCAAUUAGAAGCAAGAUGGUUUUGGCAGCAUCUGUGGUCUAUAGGUAGUACUUUGGCAGUGCAGGAGACCUGACUUCCAUUUCUGGUCCCGAUUUCACAUCCUGUGAAGUAAUGUCUAUCUCUCUUAAGCCCUAUGUACUCUUGUAGAGAAUUGUUACAAAAACUUCCAACCCAUUUACCUAGCUUUCUGAUUAUGGUAGCUGUUUUCAGCACUAGGUGGAAGGGACUGUCUUUAAAUGCUUUGGGCAGCACUACCAACUUUAAUGGUGUGACAUACAAAUGUUACAAAAUAAUACUACCUUAGAGUUUGGAAAUGCUCUUGAGGGCAAGAGGCUUUCCCUUCUGGAGGGCAGGAGUACUCAUGUUGCUCACCAUUGACCCCUCCAGCUGAUUAAGGAGUGGCACAAUCUAGAUUCUAUCUAGAAGAUGGACUAGAAGGCAUCAACAGUUUCUGAAGGGAGUUGCAUCCAAAGAGGACAGUAGCCAUUGCAUAGAGUUGUGAGGAUGGGAAGUGAAUGGAGAUGGAGAAAAUGGAGAGAUACUCAGGAUUGUGACAGACAUGAGGAUAAAAAAGGCGGACUUUCUUCCUGUAUUUUUCUUGAAGGAGGGGGAAACGAAAAACAAUCCCUCGUUUCAGCCUACGGGGCGAAUUUUAGCAGGCAGCUGCAAUGAACAGGUCAAAAAAUAUCAGAACAGAUUAUUUGGGUAUGGUCUGUGCUACAAAGGGUGAAUGCUUUAUAAAAGAUGCAAUUGCAUGAAAAACUGUGAGUGCAUACAGGAAGCUGCUGUUCCAGCAGUGCAUUGCUUUGACUCCUGCUUGGAUGCCACAAAACAUUUUUGAGAAAUGGAGGAAAACAAAGGGCAGAGUGCUGGAGCCACCAGAACCCAACUCACCGCAGUAGGUGACCUGAGGAGAAGCUGGCAGAGCUGGGCAGAAGAUCACAUUGAUUAUCAGAGACAGAAUCCAUUCAGCAAUGAUAGCAAGCCCGUGACUAGGUCUGUGCAUCCCCAAAGAGGAGAUCCCAUCUAUGGGAGACCGCCUGAAGGGUCUAAAACAGAGCAAAGAGGGAAAGAUGCCCACACACAUGUGGGAAAGGAAGUGGAAGAGCUAUGCUUGAUCAUGAGAAAUAUUGGGGAGAAAGGAGAUGAUGGAAAUGUAAGAGUGACAUUCCGACAGCUGUUUGAAACAUAUGUGACUAUUUCCAAUAAAGUAGUGGGAAUCCUGCUGAGAGCAAGAAAAUAUGGGCUGGUUCAGUUUGAAGGUGAAAUGCUUUGGCAAGGAAAAGACGACAAUGUCAUCAUCACCUUACUUGAAUAAUACUGAUGAAUGUUUCCAUUUUGGAAAAUAAACCAUCUAAAUGUCA